rnacentral:rRNA from 1 species
UACGUAGGGCGCAAGCGUUGUCCGGAAUUAUUGGGCGUAAGGAGCUCGUAGGUGGCUUGUUGCGUCUGCCGUGAAAGCCCGUGGCUUAACUACGGGUCUGCGGUGGAUACGGGCAGGCUAGAGGCUGGUAGGGGCAAGCGGAAUUCCUGGUGUAGCGGUGAAAUGCGCAGAUAUCAGGAGGAACACCGGUGGCGAAGGCGGCUUGCUGGGCCAGUUCUGACGCUGAGGAGCGAAAGCGUGGGGAGCGAACAGG